UGGUCUGAGAGGAUGACCUCCACCCUGGAAAUGAGACACGGUCCAGUCUCUUACGGGAGGCAGCAGUGGGGAAUAUUGCACAAUGGGGGCAAGCCGGAUGCAGCCAUGCCGCGUGUAUGAAGAAGGCCUUCGGGUUGUAAAGUACUUUCAGCGGGGAGGAAGGGAGUAAAGUUAAUACCUUUGCUCAUAGACGUUAUCCGCAGAAGAAGCCCCGGCUAACUCCGUGCCUGCAGCCGCGGUAAUAAGGAGGGUGCAAGCGUUAAUAGGAAUUACUGGGCGUAAAGCGCACGCAGGCGGUUUAUUAAUUCAGAUGUGAAAUCCCGGGGCUCAACUUGGGAACUGCAUCUGAUACUGGCAAGCUUGAGUCUCGUAGAGGGGGGUAGAAUUCCAGGUGUAGCGGUGAAAUGCGUAGAGAUUGGGAGGAAUUCCGGUGGGGAAGGCGGCCCCCUGGGCGAAGACUGACGCUCAGGUGCGAAAGGGUGGGGAGCAAACAGUAUUAGAUACCCUGGUAGUCCACGCCGUAAACGAUUUAGGGUUGGAGGUCGUGCCCUUGAGGCGUGGCUUCCGGAGCUAACGCUCUUAAAGUUCGAUCCCAGGCCCCUG
rnacentral:rRNA from 1 species